AGAAGAGCUGAUGAUUUCUUGGGCGAAGACGAUAGAAAGAUUGCCUCUUUCCCUCUUCUCGGCCUUCGAACGCCUUCCGAACAGUUUUGGCAAUUGGAGUUUCACAGUGACUACUUUGUGCUAUCAGCCUAUCUGAUGUUUCAGGUGUGUUCAGGUUAGAAGCUUUCCUUUACUGUCUCAUGAGAGGAGUUUCACAAAGCCUGGACGAUUGUGAGAUCCUUCCUCACAUUGCAGGAUCUGAGGCCCUAAGACUGUGGUCCUUGCAACAAUAGAUGAUCACAUGGAAGAAGCAAUCGAGACAACCAAAGCUGAGCAAGUUAUAGCAGUGCCAACCACUACUCUAUGGAUUUGCAUGUGAUGCUUGGUAAGCAGCUCUGCAGAAGCAGUUAAAGAAGUUUAUGAGAUUAGAGGAUGUCAGCAGACAAGUCCUCUAGCGAUUGCUGUUGCUGUUGUCAAUCAAUUACUGUUUAUUGUUAUAUGUAUGUUGUAUAUACAGACAUGUGUGUAUAUAUGUAGAGAAAUAAAGGCGAGUGUUUACCAAGGUUUACUAGGAUCAGUGGUUAAAGUGAGAUUGAGAUUGGCUGAACCUGAUAUUGAAACCCCUGUUUUUAGGCUAAUUGGUCAGACUGAACCAGAAUCAAUGAAAAAAUCAAUUGGAAUUGAACAGCCCCUACGCAAGGCUAGAAACAACAGCAAUCCUCGAGAAAUUUGACCUACAAGAAGUUCCUUGAGAUUAUGGAGUCAAUGUAACUGUCCCUUCAAAAGGCUUUAUUCUUUUCCUUAUGGGAUUUGUGGGUUCGAGAAGUAUUAGUUACAGAGGUAAGCAGAUGGUGUUUUUCCUGAAUCAUCACAGCAUAUCAGGCGGCGGCAAUUUAUGUCGACGAUCAUUUUUGCUCUACAACUGCUGUUCGCAAGAGGUAAAGUUGGAACAUGCAUAGAGCCCUUUUGAUUGAUGCGUUUACACCAUUUUUGUCUGAUGUUGCUGCUGCAAUUCUGUCAAAAGAGUUUUAGCUAAACUAUAGUCAUCAUUCUUGGAGCUGCAAAAGCAUCUCAAGUCUACUCUCGAUGCUCUUAACGUUCUUAAUCUGUGAUAUCAAUGUAUGCUGCUACCUCAAGUUUACUGUACAGUUACAUUAAGCAUCCACCAUGUAUUUAAAGAAGCUACUGCAGGAGUUGUACAGUAACACUUCCAUUGCACACAACUGUUUGAACUCUACUUGUUUGGAUUGGCACCGAUUAGAAUCUUGUUAUUCUUGAGGAAUAAAGUAUGGCCUGCUAAUUCCAUUAUCAGUGCAGAGUGGAUGCCACUGUGCAGGAAUAUUUAGUUAUCAUGAACUUUAAUCAGCAGAGGAUUCCUGAAAUAUCUAUCAUUCAUCACCAUUUUGGAGUCUUUAACCUGUACAAGGAGACAAUACCAUCCCACCUUCAAACUGUUACAAACUCCAAGUUGAAUGAGUUCUUCUGAGGUGCUUUUAUGGCUUGUAUGGCUGGCUGCUCUGAGAUUUCAUGUCCUGAGAGUGAUUAAUGAUGAAGGUUAUACCACAAUCAAAACAAUCUGUUCCAAGAAAGAACAGAAAACAGAAAGGUUACUGAAAUCCAUAAAUUAGAAUUUGGUGUUAGCUUAUGGCAGUCUUCUUCCGAGUGGAGUAAACCUGUUAGCUUGUUGACUUCAUUACAUAUGGUUAGCACAGAUGGAGAGGAGCUGCGUACUCCAUGCAUGGAAGCAACCCUGCUUUGAUGAAUCAUUCGAGACAAGAAUAUAAGGAUGGGGACUCCUCGUCUGUCGCAAUGUGGCACAAAGGCAAGAGAAAGAAGAAGCAUCCGAUUCUGUGGUUUGUGGACCAGAGUUAGCUCUGAGAUAAUGGAGAAGAAAGGCCGCCUGCUUUCUUUUACUUGUCGCCGUUGAGUUCUUCUUCCGCAUAGGUGAGAAAUCGUAAUGCAGAGAGACUGCUGCGAUUGUCUCAGCCACUUCUUCCCUGUGCUAGAAGAAACCAGCGAGAUUUACUGCAGAACAACUGCUGCUGGUGAUUAAAAGCAGUACCAGCAGCUCUCGCAAUCUGUGUUCUUAGGUUUCUCCUUGGCUUUUGCUCUGCUGGAAGGUAGCGUUCACGUGAAACCGGGCCGUGAAUCAUGGAGAAUAACCACUGUUCAUCUAUUACAGCAUUGCAGCAAGAAGUUAAAUGUUGCCAGCUUGAUUUUGGGGUGUUUUCUUCUGGGGUUUUGUCUGUUUAAUGGUCCAAAGAGCAUCAUUGAAUUGAAUUUAGACAGAUGAGUUCUAUGCUCUGAAUAAUUUCUUACUGGAAGUGUAAGAUUCCAGGAAUAAAACGCAGAACCAGAUAAGAAUGCGUGAGAUGCAGCAGUGAUGGAGUGAAUGAUGUUGUACCUUGUACAGGUAGAAUGAAGAGCAGUAAUGAGCCAGUGUAGGUAGGUCAAGCUUACUAUAGAACGAAGAACAGGUAGUUUCAUGGUAAGAACAUUAAUCUUAUUUUCCUCAAGAAGACAAAACUGUGGAAGAUUUUGUGGGAAUCAUGGAAAUAAUUGUCAUAAAAGGAGGAAAAAAGCACACAUCUUCAGGGGAUUAUAGCAGAAAAAUGGAGGAUUUUUUCCUUUUUUUUCUUCUUCUUAACCUCAUUGAAGUUUAGAAUUCAUUAUCAAGUUUUUCCAUCUAAAUUGAGAUCAGGCUUUUUUCUAAGUGCAAGCUCAAUCACUUUGUGUGUUCAUGCUUAUAUAAGCUCAUCAAAGCCAGUUCACUCAAGAACACACACACAGUCUCUCCCUCUC